AUUGAACGCUGGCGGCAUGCUUUACACAUGCAAGUCGAACGGUAACAGGCCGCAAGGUGCUGACGAGUGGCGAACGGGUGAGUAAUGCAUCGGAAUGUGCCCAGUCGUGGGGGAUAACUACUCGAAAGAGUAGCUAAUACCGCAUACGAUCUAUGGAUGAAAGCGGGGGACCGUAAGGCCUCGCGCGAUUGGAGCGGCCGAUGUCAGAUUAGGUAGUUGGUGGGGUAAAGGCUCACCAAGCCAACGAUCUGUAGCUGGUCUGAGAGGACGACCAGCCACACUGGGACUGAGACACGGCCCAGACUCCCACGGGAGGCAGCAGUGGGGAAUUUUGGACAAUGGGCGCAAGCCUGAUCCAGCAAUGCCGCGUGCAGGAAGAAGGCCUUCGGGUUGUAAACUGCUUUUGUACGGAACGAAACGGCUCUGGUUAAUACCCGGGGCUAAUGUCGGUACCGUAAGAAUAAGCACCGGCUAACUACGUG
rnacentral:rRNA from 1 species